AGAGUUUGAUCCUGGCUCAGGAUGAACGCUAGCGACAGGCUUAACACAUGCAAGUCGAGGGGCAGCGGGGGUGAUGGCUUGCCAUCACCUGCCGGCGACCGGCGCACGGGUGAGUAACACGUAUGCAACCUGCCCGCCACAGGGGGAUAAGCGGAAGAAAUUCCGUCUAAUACCGCGUGACGCGGCGUCGGGGCAUCCCGGUGCCGCCAAAGGGAUUACCGGUGGCGGAUGGGCAUGCGGCGCAUUAGCUAGUCGGCGGGGUAACGGCCCACCGAGGCGACGAUGCGUAGGGGUUCUGAGAGGAAGGUCCCCCACACUGGUACUGAGACACGGACCAGACUCCUACGGGAGGCAGCAGUGAGGAAUAUUGGUCAAUGGGCGGGAGCCUGAACCAGCCAAGUCGCGUGAGGGAUGACGGUCCUACGGAUUGUAAACCUCUUUUGCCGGGGAGCAAGCGUGCGUUCGUGAACGCGCGUCGAGAGUACCCGGAGAAAAAGCAUCGGCUAACUCCGUGCCAGCAGCCGCGGUAAUACGGAGGAUGCGAGCGUUAUCCGGAUUUAUUGGGUUUAAAGGGUGCGUAGGCGGGAUGCCAAGUCAGCGGUAAAAAUGCGGUGCUCAACGCCGUCGAGCCGUUGAAACUGGCGUUCUUGAGUGGGCGAGAAGUAUGCGGAAUGCGUGGUGUAGCGGUGAAAUGCAUAGAUAUCACGCAGAACUCCGAUUGCGAAGGCAGCAUACCGGCGCCCUACUGACGCUGAGGCACGAAAGCGUGGGUAUCGAACAGGAUUAGAUACCCUGGUAGUCCACGCAGUAAACGAUGAAUGCUAACUGUCCGGUGCGAGUGAGCGCUGGGCGGUACAGCGAAAGCGUUAAGCAUUCCACCUGGGGAGUACGCCGGCAACGGUGAAACUCAAAGGAAUUGACGGGGGCCCGCACAAGCGGAGGAACAUGUGGUUUAAUUCGAUGAUACGCGAGGAACCUUACCCGGGCUCAAACGCAGGAUGACGGGUCCCGAAAGGGGCCUUUCUUCGGACAUUCUGCGAGGUGCUGCAUGGUUGUCGUCAGCUCGUGCCGUGAGGUGUCGGCUUAAGUGCCAUAACGAGCGCAACCCCUGUCCACAGUUGCCAGCAGGUAAAGCUGGGGACUCUGUGGAGACUGCCGGCGCAAGCUGCGAGGAAGGCGGGGAUGACGUCAAAUCAGCACGGCCCUUACGUCCGGGGCGACACACGUGUUACAAUGGCAGGUACAGCGGGAUGCCACGGGGCGACCCGGCGCUGAACCCGAAAACCUGUCUCAGUUCGGAUUGGAGUCUGCAACCCGACUCCAUGAAGCUGGAUUCGCUAGUAAUCGCGCAUCAGCCACGGCGCGGUGAAUACGUUCCCGGGCCUUGCACUCGCCGCCCGUCA
rnacentral:rRNA from 1 species